UACGAAGGGGGCUAGCGUUGCUCGGAAUCACUGGGCGUAAAGCGCACGUAGGCGGAUUGCUAAGUCAGGGGUGAAAUCCUGGAGCUCAACUCCAGAACUGCCCUUGAUACUGGCGGUCUCGAGUCCGGGAGAGGUGAGUGGAACUGCGAGUGUAGAGGUGAAAUUCGUAGAUAUUAGGAGGAACACCAAUAGCGAAGGCAGCUCGCUGGGACGUUACUGACACUGAGGCGCGAAAGCGUGGGGAGCGAACAGG
rnacentral:rRNA from 1 species